rnacentral:rRNA from 1 species
UACGUAGGUGGCAAGCGUUGUCCGGAUUUAUUGGGCGUAAAGCGCGCGCAGGCGGCUAUGUAAGUCUGAUGUUAAAGCCCGAGGCUCAACCUCGGUUCGCAUUGGAAACUGUGUAGCUUGAGUGCAGAAGAGGAAAGCGGUAUUCCACGUGUAGCGGUGAAAUGCGUAGAGAUGUGGAGGAACACCGAUGGCGAAGGCAGCCCCCUGGGCUGAGAUUGACGCUCAGGCACGAAAGCGUGGGGAGCAAACAGG